UUUCCCUCAAGAUAGCUAGAGCCCGGGUGCGAGUUCUAUCAGGUAAAGCCAAUGAUUAGAGGCAUCGGGGCCACAACGCCCUCGACCUAUUCUCAAACUUUAAAUAGGUAGGACGGUGUGGCUGCUUCGUUGAGCCAUGCHACGGAAUCGAGAGCUCCA
rnacentral:ncRNA from 1 species